GGGGGUGAAUGGUUUCGACGGGGAUGCAAAGGCUUGGGUAGUGGCAGGCCGGGUGCCAACCCGUAAAAGGCACUGUAAAUAGCUGCCGACGAAACACUCGCUCUCGCCGCCUAAGUAAACGCGGCGACGUCCCCCGGAGCUCCGCCUGCCGGCUCCGGGUAGGGCGACAGAGAGGCGGGCUGGGCUACUUCCCGCGCCCUCCGGGGGUAGCCGAGAGCUAAGAGGGCUGGCUCUGGGACGCCUGCCCGUGGGCUAAUCCCAGAGCGAGAGGCCAAAACACGGGCUAAGCCUGUAGAAGCUACCCGAGCCGCAUCUCCGGACGCGGGUUCGAAUCCCGCCACCUCCACCA
rnacentral:tmRNA from 1 species